rnacentral:rRNA from 1 species
ACUCCUACGGGAGGCAGCAGUGGGGAAUAUUGCACAAUGGGGGAAACCCUGAUGCAGCCAUGCCGCGUGUGUGAAGAAGGCCUUCGGGUUGUAAAGCACUUUCAGUAGGGAGGAAGGUAGUGUAGUUAACACCUGCAUUAUUUGACGUUACCUACAGAAGAAGCACCGGCUAACUCCGUGCCAGCAGCCGCGGUAAUACGGAGGGUGCGAGCGUUAAUCGGAAUUACUGGGCGUAAAGCGCAUGCAGGCGGCCUGUUAAGUCAGAUGUGAAAGCCCGGGGUCUUAACCUCGGAAUUGCAUUUGAAACUGGCAGGCUAGAGUCUUGUAGAGGGGUUAGAAUUUCAGGUGUAGCGGUGAAAUGCGUAGAGAUCUGAAGGAAUACCAGUGGCGAAGGCGGCCCCGUGGACAAAGACUGACGCUCAGAUGCGAAAGCGUGGGAGCAAACAGGAUUAGAUACCCCUGGUAGACUGUCA